rnacentral:rRNA from 1 species
AGGGUUUGAUUAUGGCUCAGGAUGAACGCUAGCUACAGGCUUAACACAUGCAAGUCGAGGGGCAGCAUGGUCUUAGCUUGCUAAGGCCGAUGGCGACCGGCGCACGGGUGAGUAACGCGUAUCCAACCUGCCUUACACUCUUGGACAGCCUUCUGAAAGGGAGAUUAAUACAAGAUGUUAUCAUGAGUAAGCAUUUUCGCAUGAUUAAAGGUUUACCGGUGUAAGAUGGGGAUGCGUUCCAUUAGAUAGUAGGCGGGGUAACGGCCCACCUAGUCUUCGAUGGAUAGGGGUUCUGAGAGGAAGGUCCCCCACAUUGGGACUGAGACACGGUCCAA